rnacentral:misc_RNA from 1 species
UUGAGUCACUGAUCACUCCUUCAACCAGUAAUGGAUAUGUGAAUGAAGAAAGCGUCUUGGAGACUUAUAUUGUCCUCUUAAAGCAACCAGAAGGAGAAUUGUUCACAGAGUCCAAAGAUUUAGAAAGCUGGUAUCGAUCAUUUUUGCCAGCUGACACUUUAAACUCAAACCAACCACGUUUGCUUCACUGCUAUCGCCAUGUGGUUACUGGGUUUGCUGCAAAACUUACAGCAGAUGAAGCAAAGGCAAUGGAAAUGAGGGAAGAGUUGCUGUUAGCCCGGCCUCAGAGGAUGGUGCCUCUACACACGACCCACACACCAAGCUUUUUGGGUCUGCAGCAAAAUUUAGGAUUUUGGAAAUCUUCGAAUUACGGCGAAGGAGUGAUUAUUGGAGUAGUGGACAGUGGAAUAGCGCCUGAUCACCCUUCAUUUAGAGGUAAAGGAAUGCCUCCUCCGCCAGCAAAAUGGAAAGGGAAAUGUGAGUUCAAUGCAACACUGUGCAACAACAAGCUUAUUGGUUUGAGAAAAUUCGACGCCACCAGUAAUGACAUGUUGGACAGGGA